rnacentral:rRNA from 1 species
GAUGAACGCUGGCGGCGUGCUUAACACAUGCAAGUCGAGCGAGUGAGUUCUUCGGAACGAUCUAGCGGCGGACGGGUGAGUAACACGUGGGCAACCUGCCUCAUAGAGGGGAAUAGCCUCCCGAAAGGGAGAUUAAUACCGCAUAAAAUUAUCGAGUGGUAUCACAUGAUAAUCAAAGGAGUAAUCCGCUAUGAGAUGGGCCCGCGGCGCAUUAGCUAGUUGGUGAGGUAACGGCUCACCAAGGCGACGAGGCGUAGCCGACCUGAGAGGGUGAUCGGCCACAUUGGGACUGAGACACGGCCCAGACUCCUACGGGAGGCAGCAGUGGGGAAUAUUGCACAAUGGGGGAAACCCUGAUGCAGCAACGCCGCAUGAGUGAUGAAGGUCUUCGGAUUGUAAAGCUCUGUCUUUGGGGACGAUAAUGACGGUACCCAAGGAGGAAGCCACGGCUAACUACGUGCCAGCAGCCGCCGUAA